rnacentral:rRNA from 1 species
GACGAACGCUGGCGGCGGGCCUAAUACAUGCAAGUAGAACGAGUUGCGAACGGGUGAGUAACGCGUGGUAACCUGCCUCAUAGCGGGGGAUAACUACUGGAAACGGUAGCUAAUACCGCAUAACAUCGGAUGUGACCAGAUGGGAUUGGCUUGUUGGUGGGGUAACGGACCACCAAGGCGAAGGUCCCUAGCUGGUCUGAGAGGAUGACCAGCCACACUGGAAUGGAGACACGGUCCAGACUCCUACGGGAGGCAGCAGUGGGGAAUAUUGCACAAUGGGCGCAAGCCUGAUGCAGCCAUGCCGCGUGUAUGAAGAAGGCCUUCGGGUUGUAAAGUACUGUCAGCGGGGAGGCGUUACCCGCAGAAGAAGCACCGGCUAACUCCGUGCCAGCAGCCGCGGUAAUUC